CACGUAGGCACCAAGCGUUGUCCGGAUUUAUUGGGCGUAAAGAGCUCGUAGGCGGUUCAGUAAGUCGGGUGUGAAAACUUUGGGCUUAACCCAAAGCGUGCAUCCGAUACUGCUGUGACUUGAGUUCGGUAGGGGAGUGGGGAAUUCCUAGUGUAGCGGUGAAAUGCGCAGAUAUUAGGAGGAACACCGGUGGCGAAGGCAGCUCGCUGGGACGUUACUGACGCUGAGACGCGAAAGCGUGGGGAGCAAACAGG
rnacentral:rRNA from 1 species